GCUCCCGUCUCCGCUGAACGUGGCCGACGGCUACGUGACGCUCACGCAGACGUCAACGUCAUCACGUACACUCUCGCGCGGAUCUGGGCGGCCUGAAACACUUUUAGCGGCUGAAUCCCUCUCUUGAGCUGCUUCCGUCUUGCAAGGGCCCGAGUCCUACGGCCUUUGGCUUUGUUUGGAAACCAACUGGCUGCCUGGACGUUUUGGGAAGAAAGGAAUUGACAAAAUUCUAGGCCAGCAAUUCCCAAAGUGUGGUCCCAGGAACAUCACCAGGAAUUUGUUAAAAUGCAAAUUCUCUGGCGGUUUCCCAGACUUACUGCAUUUGAAACUCCCGGAUGGGGCCCAGCAAUCUGAAUUUUACAGAGCCCUGCAGGUAGCUUUGAUAGUCAAGUUUGAAAAACACUGCCGUAAAGCUAUCGACUUUUUUUUUUUUUCCACCGAGGCUUCAGUGACAGAAGCUCUGAACCUAUCUGGGUUGUGAUCCCUGUUUGCCUGCGUUUUCCAGUGAGAGAGUGAUGUGUUAACAACAGCUGUAAUGAUUUCUCUAAUGAAGCCUCCUUGGCUCUGUUGGGUUCCCAUUAACAACGGUUGAGCGCUACUGCCCUCUUGUGGUGGAUGGACGCCAGAUUUUGCCGCUUGGCAGAUGACAAGAGCCAGAUUGCACAGGAUGACUUGGACUAGAGAUGGAAAGGGUCUGCAUGCAUGGGAAAUGAGUCAAGCAUCCAGGCCCCAGGUCUUUACUGAACCCUAAACUAGUUUCCCAGACAGUGUGUGAGUUGAGUGCUUCUUCAAUAUCUUUCAUACAACACCCUUUAAGAGGUAUUUGCCAGAACAAAAGGAAUCUAUUCUGAAACUAAAUGGAUGUUUCCUCCUCUAGAGCCUGAAAUCUGG